ensembl:lncRNA
GUGGAGAAGGCAAUGGCACCCCACUCCAGUACUCUUGCCUGGAAAAUCCCAUGGGUGGAGGAGCCUGGUAGGCUGCAGUCAGUCCAUGGGGUCGCUAAGAGUCGAACACGACUGAGCGACUUCCCUUUCACUCUUCACUUUCAUGCAUUGGAGAAGGAAAUGGCAACCCACUCCAGUAUUCUUUUCUGGAGAAUCCCAGUGACGAGGGAGCCUGAUGGGCUGCCCUCUAUGGGGUCGCACAGAGUCGGGCACGACUGACUGAGCAGCAGUAGCAGCAGAAGUUGACGAUUUGAUCUCUGGUUCCUCUGGCUUUGCUAAAUCCAGCUUGAACAUCUGGAAGCUCACAGUUCACAUACUGUUGAAGCCUGGCUUGGAGAAUUUUGAGCAUUACUUUGCUAAUGUGUGAGAUGUGUGCAAUUGUGUGGUAGUUUGAGCAUUCUUUGGCAUUGCCUUUCUUUGGGAUUGGAAGGAAAUCUGACCUCUUCUAGUCCUGUGGCCACUGCUGAGGUUUCCAAAUUUGCUAGCAUAUUGGGAACAGCACUUUCAGAGCAUCAUCAUUUAGGAUUUCAAACAGCUCAGUUGGAAUUCCAUCACCUCCAUUAGCUUUGUUUGUAGCAAUGCUUCCUAAGGCCCACUUGACUUCGCAUUCCAGGAUGUCUGGCUCUAGGUGGAUGCUGAUAGAAGCCCUAAUUAUGAUUGAAACCAGCAACACAGCCAAAGCCUUCAUCAUGGGCAGGAGGUACCUCAUGUGGCUCAUAACUUCACCUUGUUGGGAUAUCUGUAUCCUAAGGAAGAGCGUAGCUUCAGCCUGAAAAGCCCAGGUCUAGAAGUCAAUCACUUUGACUGUAACAUUAAUGAUGGAUAAAGUCUCCUAAUCCAAAGCUUCGUAAGUAGAAAAUCAAGACCUCUCAUAUUUUGAGAACCUCAGAUGAGAAACCUAAUGCUUCCUGUUUAUUAACUCAAAAAAUACUGGGCACAGAUAUGUCAGUUACUUGUUCAGUGGCUACUGGAAAUUUUCGCCGAACUAGGUGUAUCAGUGAUAACAAGACAUCAACAGCUACCAUGACCCCAGAAGAUGGAACAAUACUAAAUGCUUUGCUAUCAGGGGGAAGAAAAUUUCGAGGAUGUCACUGCUAAGAAUAAAUGUCACAGAGAAGGCUGUCUCCUGCAGGCAUUCCUUGGCAAGAGGCUUGCAUUCCAGGAUCCCUGGAAUGGGAAUUGGAGAAUAGACCCAGCUCAUCCUGUCAGUUGGUUCUUUCUCUCCACCAUUACCACCUCUGCUUAGGUGGUAUGAUGGUAGCCAUUCUGAGACCUGGCCCUUACAUCUGGGGUGUCCCCUACCUUCUGCUCUUGAGGACUUCCACCUUGCCUGUUUACCAGUGUCUUGAACUGUUAACUUGUCUCCUGUCUUUUAACUCUUUAAACUGCUUCUGCUUCAUGACCAUGGAAACUAUUCUACUAUGAAUCUUC